rnacentral:sRNA from 1 species
AAUUCUUUUUUCUUUAAGAGGAGCAGUGUUGUGCCACUAUUAUUAUAUGAAUAAAAUAUAAAAUAUGCAAAUAAUCGUGGCACAACACUGCUCCUCUUAAAAAAAAAAGAAUUCU